rnacentral:rRNA from 1 species
UACGAAGGGGGCUAGCGUUGUUCGGAUUUACUGGGCGUAAAGCGCACGUAGGCGGGUCGUUAAGUCGGGGGGUGAAAUCCUGGAGCUCAACUCCAGAACUGCCUUCGAUACUGGCGAUCUUGAGUCCGGAAGAGGUGAGUGGAACUCCUAGUGUAGAGGUGGAAUUCGUAGAUAUUAGGAAGAACACCAGUGGCGAAGGCGGCUCACUGGUCCGGGUACUGACGCUGAGGUGCGAAAGCGUGGGGAGCAAACAGG